AUGGACUCUGUUAUGCAAUAGUGUGUUAAGUACAUAGGAUUUCCAUAGCACUUAACACAUUAAUGCAUAACAGUGUCCAUAUAUUGUCUAUAGAAGCUA